rnacentral:rRNA from 1 species
CCAGUGCUUGCACUGGUACUCGAGUGGCGAACGGGUGAGUAACACGUGGGUGAUCUGCCUUGCACUCUGGGAUAAGCUUGGGAAACUGGGUCUAAUACCGGAUAGGAACCGUCUUUAGUGUGGUGGUUGGAAAGUUUUUUCGGUGCAAGAUGAGCUCGCGGCCUAUCAGCUUGUUGGUGGGGUAAUGGCCUACCAAGGCGUCGACGGGUAGCCGGCCUGAGAGGGUGUACGGCCACAUUGGGACUGAGAUACGGCCCAGACUCCUACGGGAGGCAGCAGUGGGGAAUAUUGCACAAUGGGCGGAAGCCUGAUGCAGCGACGCCGCGUGGGGGAUGACGGCCUUCGGGUUGUAAACUCCUUUCGACAGGGACGAAGCGCAAGUGACGGUACCUGUAUAAGAAGCACCGGCUAACUACGUGCCAGCAGCCGCGGUAAUACGUAGGGUGCGAGCGUUGUCCGGAAUUACUGGGCGUAAAGAGCUCGUAGGUGGUUUGUCGCGUCGUCUGUGAAAUUCCGGGGCUUAACUCCGGGCGUGCAGGCGAUACGGGCAUAACUUGAGUGCUGUAGGGGAGACUGGAAUUCCUGGUGUAGCGGUGAAAUGCGCAGAUAUCAGGAGGAACACCGAUGGCGAAGGCAGGUCUCUGGGCAGUUACUGACGCUGAGGAGCGAAAGCAUGGGUAGCGGACAGGAUUAGAUACCCUGGUAGUCCAUGCCGUAAACGGUGGGCGCUAGGUGUAGGGGGCUUCCACGUCUUCUGUGCCGUAGCUAACGCAUUAAGCGCCCCGCCUGGGGAGUACGGCCGCAAGGCCAAAACUCAAAGGAAUUGACGGGGGCCCGCACAAGCGGCGGAGCAUGUGGAUUAAUUCGAUGCAACGCGAAGAACCUUACCUGGGCUUGACAUACACCAGAUCGCUGCAGAGAUGUAGUUUCCCUUGUGGUUGGUGUACAGGUGGUGCAUGGUUGUCGUCAGCUCGUGUCGUGAGAUGUUGGGUUAAGUCCCGCAACGAGCGCAACCCUUGUCUUAUGUUGCCAGCAUUUGGUUGGGGACUCAUGAGAGACUGCCGGGGUUAAC